AGGCCUGGCACCCGUUCUCUCCAACGUUGGGAUGCUACACAACUAAAGUAAUGCUCGCAGCCCAGCUCCUCCACUAAAAUAACGCUCACUCACUCAGCUCCCUCCUCGCGCCAUCCUCUCAUCGCCUUAUGUAUCCUGACUGCACACAAUACUCCCCAAAUCACACUAGCGGCAACUCCUUAACAGCGCCCAUUUAGAAGCACAGCCUCGCCCCCUUCCUCCGCUGCUCCCAUGGCGCGACUUCUUCCUCAAGCUGCCCGGCGCUGCUUCGUCGGUGGUGCAGCCGCGGGAGUCCAAUUGGCGGGGGUCCAGGCGGUGCUCGAGGAUGCAGCCGGCGUUGGGGAGGAGUCGCGCUGGGUCACGCCAGAGGUGAAGGACCUUGUCCAGGUGAUUCUCGACGAGCCGUGUGCAUAGGGGAGUAGGAUCUAUCUUCUACCUGAGGUGAGUAUGUGCGGUACGUUGAUUCGCUCUUCCGGCAGGGAUGUGACUGCUGGCUGCUGCCGGAGCUCUGCUGGAGCAAGGCCGGUUUGGUGUUGCGUUUUUAGCUAGCAGCUUGAUUUGUACAUCUGCGUCUGGCACAUGGAGAGGCUUCCCUUGCUGCUGUUGUUUCCCAAUGUGUUCUGGUUCUUGAUCUUUGUUCGGCCUAAACAUCAAUAUUUAUUCUAUCCUAUUUGCUAUCCUUUCAGGUCUGGGCAUGGGGUUGCUGGAUGAAGGGAGGAGGAGCUGGCAAAGUGCUGCAGGACCUGAAGCUGGACAUCGUGUAUCUUCUCUUUUGUGGAGGCUCGUAGACAGUUGUAUCAUAAUACAAUUGCAUGUCAUCAUGAGGAAGACCUGAAGAAAAUUCAGAUGGAAUUUUACCUUUUCCAUUCCUUUUGUCCUUCGCAAUAUUUCUCCCUGGUGGCCUUGUUUCUUCUUGAAUCUCACGUGCUACAUCAUCAUCAUCAGGUGUGCCCGUUUUCUCCUCUACAUAUAUCCUUGUCCACUGCAUGCAAGGAAUAAAGGAAGUAUUUGGUGCAGAAUAUCUUCAGAGACCUACACCAGCGGACAUUCAACGAUUGCUCCAAAUGGGGGAGGUGCAUGGCUUUCCAGGAAUGUUGGGAAGCCUCGACUGCAUGCACUGGGAAUGGAAGAAUUGCCCAGUUGUAUGGAAGGGUCAAUUCACUCGAGGAGACUAUGGAGUCUCUACGGUUAUGCUUGAGGCUGUUGCAUCACAAGACACCUGGAUAUGGCAUUCAUUUUUUGGGGUUGCUGGAUCAAACAAUGACCUAAACGUCUUAAAUCA